UAGCUUUCAUGUUGAAAAUAUCACCCUCAAAUAGGAAAGCAUUGUUCGGUUGCAAUCGAGUAACUGACCGAAAUGGACUACAACAGCAACCAUCAACUCGAUUAUACGAUGGCGGUUGCUGGCAUUGGUUGUGACCGAUGGGAUCGGUACCACUGUGAUUCGGUCGUCGGGGCACUCUCCCCCCAAUAGAAUCGAUCGAAAAACCAAGGGGAGGGGAAAAUUCUAUUAAUAGGCUUCAUUAAACCUCACCCCUGUUCUGUCUUCCCUUGCCGACCUUCCCUCUUUCUUCAUUUGUCUCCCCUUUCUUCUUCCUACUUCUUUCCUCUGCUUGGUGCUCUUUGUCGUCUCCUCCUGCCGGCAUCUAUCCUCCUCCUUGCUGCCGGUCACCUCUGUUUCAAGGAGGAAUUCCUUGGUAAUGAAGAAUCCCAAUCGUUGUUGUAUCUGUAAGUCGUGACCUGACCACAAUCACACAGGGCCCAUGGGCCAGGUCCAGCAGUCCAGGUUCGAGAGACUUGCAUUCGCAUGAUACUGGGCUUCGGACAACAGUCUAUGGGAGACGACAGAAUCAAAUCAAAUCAAAGCAAAGAAUCAUUGGAAACGGGCAAAGCACAAAGCAAAACCGUCUAUGGGAAAUCAACUGGUUUGAAACAUUUCUUUAAUUUGAAUCUAUCAAAUUUGAACAGGAGCAAGCUCCGGUGCCACCUAAGCUUCAGCUUUCAGGUUGCUGCUGCAAUUGAAACGGCUGCUGUUGGCAAUUGUGUGAGUAGAGCCCAUCUUUACCAGGCCAACAACUGAGCUGAAGCAGGAUAGGAACCACUUUUUUGUUGCAGAUACCUAUUGUUUGAAACCCUCGUAGCACAUAUCUGAUUAAAAUUGGUAUUUUACAUUCGGAAAGUAUUCAAAAACAAAGUUUAUGACAAGAAUUAAAUCAUCACAGUGUACGGUUUUCUUCCAUUAUUGCAGACACAUGAUGAAAAACUGUUCAUGAUUAUAUCAGUGAGCCGUGAAGCUUCUGUCACGUAGUUUGUCUUAUGAGAUGUAUAACUAUUAAUGGUGAUGGAUCGGUUGUUAUUUUGUUUGU
rnacentral:sRNA from 1 species